CAUCUGCAAAAGAUGAGUUCAAAUUGCACAUUACACACAAGUUUUUAAUUGCAUUUUCAGUACACUCCCAACAUUUUUACACAGAUCUGGGAGUCUUCAUGUGUGCACACAGCCAUAGAUACUCACAAACUAUUUGUAAAAGCUUAGAAGCCUCAACAGACCUUUUUUUUUCCAUUCUGCGUUGUCAACUGAAAUAGUGCAGGUGCUUUGCUCUUUUGUAGUUGUGCAGUAGUAAAUAACAAACCUGGCUUCUGCUCUUUAACACUUAAUUAUGCACUGAUUUUAACACUCAGCACAGUUUUUUUUUUUUUUUUUUCCCCUCUUUUUUCUUUGGUUUCUAUCAAACACCAAACCGUUUAAAAAACAGGAAUCUAAUUGGAGCAGAGUGUUGAGUUUAUGGGUAUAACAAGAGGUGAUUUCUAAACGCUAAGUAACAGAAAUGCAUCAGUAGGGCUUAGUUUUGAAUAGCAUGGAAAGGUUUAAAUUCACAAUAGAAUAAGUAGCAUUCAUUUGUGUAGUUUGCUCUGAGAACUAAAGAACUAAUGCUCACUUAGAUGCAGAUAGUUUAAUGCUAACCUAAAAACUGAGUACAUGCAGAGGAUGUUGCUAGAAUUUGCAUUCCUGUCAUUCUUUGUUCACGUUCAAAAUUAUUAAUCAUGAUCACAUACUUUACUUUUCUGCAGGAGAUGUGCUUCAUUCCAUGCAUGAGUGGGCAGUAGUGACUCCUAAUUUCUUUCAAGCUGUGUUCCUGGAUAGUUACAUUCCUUCUGUAACGACAUGGCCAGAAAAAUAAAUGAAAAUCAAACAUAAUAAUUGCAAAUGGAAUAAACCACUAAUAUUUCAUGUUAUAAUUAUUCAAAAUCAGGGUGCUUUAUAUUAAAGCAAUUUAAUGUCAGUGGGAUGUAGAUCUUUUGACAAAGUUUGGCAUUUCUGGUGGAGACAUGAGAUACAGACAUUAUUGGUGACUCUCCAAGGUAUCAAUCUAGUGGACGGACACUUAGCCCUGCCCAGCUGUAUGGAUUUUGGUGCUGCUCAUAUUUGGAGUUAAAGCAUAUCAGUGAUGUAUAUGGUGUGCACAUUUACACUUGCUCCAGUGUAUUGCUCCUAAAUUGACUACCGUGUCCAAAUAAAUACUAAAAAUAAAAUACAUACCAAAUAAAUACUAAUAAUACUAAAUUUUAAGGUUUUGGCCAUAAGCAGGUGACUCUUAGAAAGGCUUCUGGCCUUCAUCACCACAUCCUGCAUUCUGAUUAAAGCAUGUUUGCUUUCUUGGAUGGGGCCUAUUUUCACCGUAGGUGAAUUUGCUUGGCACAAAGAAAAAAAGAAACUCAUCUGGUUUAGUCCUAACCGUCAUACAUGAUUUUUGUUGUUUUAAACUUAAAGCUUCAUCUUUACUGCUGUACUUAACUUUAUCCACUGAGUCUUUUAAAAUUGAAUUUAAACAUUAGAGUGAAAUAGUCUUUGGUAACAAGCUGUUUACAAAUGGUCUUUUUGUAGAAGUACAUACUACAGCAUUAUAUAUCUCAAAUUGAUGCAUCUGUUUAUCCAUAUAACAACAGAUGUCAGUAAAGCACAGUUAGGAUGAGAAACGUUGCUUCUACAAACAUCCUUUCAGCUUCAGGUUAUUUAUUCUGUGCUGCAGAAUUGACAAAAUCAAGUGGGAGGAUAAAGCAUUCAUCUUUUAGGGUUACAUUGAAAUGAAAUGGAACUUUCAUUAUAAGAAGUCAUAUUUUAUCCGUUCCACGUUGUAAGGGAUACAAACUGUAACUAUAGCUUGAGCUAUUUUUCCUUCUGUUCCACAGGUUACAGACUAAUUAAGAAUACUGCUGUUGUGCUGUGUGCUACUGAGAACAUGUAAAUUCCAGGGUUUUUUUUUUUCCUAUACAGUUUAGAACUGUUCCAGAGGUUUCAAAUAUAUACAGGUAUUCCAGGAAACUCAUGGGAAGCAUUCUUGAGAAAGCUAGUGCCUCUUUAGAUUCUACUUUGUCACUUCUCUUGGAUGCUAAGUAGGAGUAAGGCUCCAUCAAGACAAGCACGGUAUUAGAAAAAAGUACAAUCCAAAACUGAAUAGAGAUGAGUUUUUAACUCACACUAACUAUAGCUUUUGUUUCAGUAAUUAUGUGAUCUUAGGCUCUUUUGGAAGGACCGGUGAGAUGUGGACGUAGUGUGUGACAGCAGUAUAGGGGAGCUGAGGGGAAGCAAUGUGGAGGAUAACUAAGUUUGCUCUAAUCACACUAUUGUGCCUCCAAUCCCCAACACCCCCCAAUCAAAAAAAAAAAGCAAGUUUGCAAGUCUGCACAUACUCACUGUGGAAGCUUGAUGUGUGGGGCCUUCAGAUGGGGCUGGAGAAGGUGGCAGAAAUUCCCUCACCAAAAGUGUCGGUGGGAGUCAAAGUACAGCUCCAAUGCAGGUGACGCUACUGAAAUUACGAGGCAAAAGCACCAGACGUUGGUGUUAGUGCUUGUAAUGUGAAUGCUAGGGCUCCACCACGUGGUUAAAGCUGUGCUCUGUGCACAGGCUGGGCUCUCAGCCCUGGGCUGCAGCAACCAGAUCAUUAGAGGAAAUUUGGCAGUGAACUUGGUUAGCUUCAUUCGAUGCUCCAUGAUAGCUGCACAAUUACAGUGCCAUUUUCUUCACUUCUGCUGCUUCGCAGGUUUUUGAAUACAAGCACGUAGUGACUGGAAAAACACUACUUUGAAUGCAGCAGUUGAUAAGGAAAACAAAUACGUAUUUCUUAAAAUAUAAAAAUCAUGAAGUGUUUACUGCUAAAGUAGUGGCAGCACAAACAGCUUUGCUGUACUUAGGUAUGAUAUCAUCAGCAUGGUGACUUCAGCGCAAGGAUGUAUGCCAUAGCAGAUUCACACAAAGCUGAGAAGAUACCAAAUCAGUAGAGGCUGUGCCAGGAGUAUAAUUUAUCAGGCAUGCAGUACAUCGAGCUUCUCUGCCCACGUGUGCCAGGAAUACGUACUGUGUAACGUCAGGGAAGCCUGGCAGAUCUCACUCCUUGAAAAGACAAUGCAACUUAGGUGAGACCGUUUUUAGAAGCUGAUAGAAAUAACCAUUAACUGUAGAGCUGUGAAGCACAACGCUGCUGGGUUGGACUCUGCAUGAAUGUCACACGACACCUUCAGGAGACAGUUUGGACUACAAUUUUUGAUUCUUUUAAUUCUAUACCUUUCUAUUAUUAAACAGAAUAGUAAAAAAGACAGUAAGUACCUACCAGAGUAAUGUACCAUGAAUAAAACUGCUUUUCUCCUGUAGCUAAAAGGCAGGAUAUGUGAUGAUCUUUCAUAAGGUGUAUUUGGUGCAGAAUGAGGUUUUCCUAGUGCCCUGUGUGCACUUCACUAUCGAUCUCAAGCCAGACUGUUGCAUAUAACCACAAGAUAACAAUUGGAUGUCAUUCAAAAUAUUUUUUCAAGGACGUUUUUGACCUUAAGUAAUAGGUAGCCCUUCCAGACCUAAUGAUGAAAGGAUUUUGUUUCUGGAAGCUAAAAGCAGACAAAUGCUUCAGGAACUGCAAUACCUAACAGGAAAGUCUCAUGGCAGCAGUAGAAAAUAGUUCAGAAUUUCCUAUAACAGAACUUAAUUGAGAAGUCCUACUGUCAAUAGCAAUAAUGAUAAAAAAAGCUGUUUAGGCUUUUAGUUAACUCCAUCUAUGGGUGGUGAAAUGCUAUAGAUUAUAAUCUGUACAGUAAUUUUAGUAUCCUCCUGGGUUCAUUUUAAAAAAGGAAACUGACAAGUAUCCUACAAAUUCUAUAUGCUUUAUAUUCUUUAAAUACCUUUUUUUGUACGGUAACACCUGUCUAGUUUCUUCAAAGCGUUUAAAACAUUUUCAGCACUCAGAGAAGCAGCAGCUUCAUCUUCAAGAUCCACCUGAAUUGAAAUGUCUUGGACAUCAUGGGUUCACUAAAUGACAGAUUGAAAACAGCAAAUCAGCACUCUCUGUAGCAAGGCUGACUGGGCAGAGGUCUCAGCAGUACCUCUUCUGUGUAGAAAUGGGCUCCUUACACAAAUUCUGCUCAGCUGGGGAAGGUUUGCCUGUAGGAAUAAGAAACUGUGAAAGGAUUGUCAGCAUCCUUACCAAAUAUUUGCUUGACAGGAGGAUGUCUAACCAAGCUAAUUCAAAGGAUGUGAUACGUGCCUGUGCUCCACUGUCAUUUGCCUUUGUCACAGUGCUACUGUUUUAAUUUAUUUUUGUUUUGGACAUUAGGACCAACUGCUUGUGUCCAUCUGCGCGUGCUAAAGCAUACGUUGUGAUUUGUAAGUGGUUACAAGCAAGACUUUAAGUGUGAUUCACCAAAAUUUGUCAUCAGUAUUUGUACAAAGCAUUCUGGAGUAAAGCUCUGAGGGGGCUGGAAAGUACUUUUAUUUUUUCUCUGCUUAAGGAAUAACGUCAUCCCUUUGUAUAUUAAUGGAUUGGAUCACGCGUUGUGUUUUUUGGCAAGGACAUUAACAUGCAUUAGGAGUUCUUGUUCUAUCAAGGCUUUGUUUGAUGACUGGUCUGAAAACCUCAGCUCAGAAUUGGGAUGAAGUAUGAGUACGACGUGUAUUUAAUGUUUGAAAAUCUGUGCAUUUCAGUAAACACUUUCAGCUAUCUUAGAAGUUACGUUGAUAAAAUGAUCAGUUUUCCUCUUCAGCUCUGUUCUCAAGAUGUCCUUGCUAAGAAGGGGACUGUAAGUCACAUCAGUCUGGCAAGUAUUUUGAUUUCAAUAUUGUAAGACUUUUUAGCUUGAGGUCACGUUGAGCUCUGGUAAUGUAGAAAUUGGCUUUAAAGCUCUAUCAGGACAGUCAGAAGAGCCCAAUUGUUUCUGAUUUAAAGGCAAUGUAUAUUUUAAAUGGCCUUUUGGUAAGGCAGUUUAACAAUUAAUGUCAUGUUAUAAGGCCUUAAUAAGUUUAUUAAAAAUAUUUUAAAAAUCGUGAUUAAGUAGAAUAAAAACAGUGAUUUCUUAAGAAUUAUAAAUAUUGGAGUCAGACUCCAGCUGCAUGGUUAUGGUCCUAGAUUUUAUUACUUAAACUACUGAAGAAAUGUAGAUCUGCAUAUGAUGUUUCUCAUAGACAUUUUCUUAUAUUUCAGAUGAGAGAUUACAUCUGUGGAACGCUAAUAGUAUUUUUUCUGUAACAGACAAGUUUAAUGACUACAGUUGCUAUAACUGCUGCAGCUUGCUAGCUGUUUAGUUAAGUACAUUAAGACCCAAACAGUUGGUAAACUUUUGAAAUGAAGGAAUCUUGCCUUUACAGCAACAUUAUUGCAUGACUGGAGAGAGGGGAUUUUUUUUUCCUCCCCCAUGACCAAUAUUGUACACUGUAAAUAUUUACAGUUCACUUAAGUUGUCUUUAUUAAAGCACCAUUCUUUGGACAUCACCUCUGAAGAUGCCUGCACUGUGGGAUGAGGUAGUAGGUUGUAUAGUUUUAGGGUCAUACCCACAACUGGGAGAUAACUAUACAAUCUACUGUCUUUCCUAAAGCAGCAGAAAAUCAACAAUGGAGACUGUUCCGUUUUAAGCUCAGUGUCAGAUUCUACCAAAGUUCUGCACUUGGAGUGUUUAUUAUAGGAGACAAAUAUUUCUGCAACAUCUACAGUGCAGUACCACCGUUGUUCUGGUAGGACUUGCUCCAGAUGUGCUCUGCUGUGGGAUACAGAGACCCUCAACUGCUGAUCAUCUCGUAAGAUUAAUGGCUUAUGCUUUCAGCAGACAGUUCUUAAGGUUCUGGCAAGACAGAAUCCUAGAUAUUAUAAAAAUAUUUAGUAUGCUAAUAGAAAUUGUCUAUUCAUUGAAGUGUACACAUUUGAUUUACUCAAUAAAGGGAGUUUAUGGAACUCUUAUGGUGAAUUGACUUUACUUUCUACAUAAUAAGGAAGAGAAUUUUACUGAAAAACACUGCUCAUACUAUGGAAGUAAAACGAAGACCACAUUAAAAAAGGUUUUAACAGGAAUUAGUGUUAACUAAAAAAAUUCCAGUGUAAAUUGUGAUUUUUGAUGAGACUUCACUGACAAGAAAGGAGAUGAAUGUACAAUAUUACUGUUGAAUGUGUAGGAAUUCUGCUUACUCCAGAGCUGUUAUCUGAGCAUAAGUUUUAACUGUUGCUCAUGAAUGUAAACUUUUGAGAAGGUGAGCUCUUCUCUUGACUGCACCUUAAUUUUUGCAUACAGUUGGUAAGGCAUCUUAGGUACUAUUCAGAUACCCUGAAGUUUCAUUUUUUGCAGUUUAAAAUGCCUUGAAAGCUUCAGCAUACUGAACACUAAUCUGUGUAUAACGUGCAUGCUUAUGAAAGACUUAAUAAUCAGAUCAGUGCUAGCAACUACAACGCUCCAUGCUAUGUUAUUAAAGCCUGUGUUAGGGAAGAACUAUAACUAGAUGAAAAACAGCAGCUGCAUAAGCCUGUUAAUAUUCAGUUUGGUGUAAUAUGCAAGUUUUAGGCUUAAUAUGUAGAUAUCUAUCCUGCUAAUGCAACACUUCAUAUUACUACCAUCAGUGCUGCUGGCUCUUUUAACUUUGGAAGACAAAAAAGUACAUGUAGCUUUUAAUUUGUUUGACUGAAGUUGUAUACAUCUCAACAUUGAAAAAAGGCACUGAUCAGAAAACAUUAAGUCCCUCUUGAUGGACUCUCAAGUGCUAUUUAGGUAAAAGUACCUGAACUUUGGGAUUAAUAUCUCCAUAUACUUUCAAAGUAUUGUAAGCAGAGCCAUGUCGUAUACGGUCCCUCUUAUACAACAACAUAAGCAGCCUUAAGAAAAGCAGUUAAUGCUCAGUUCAUUAUUUUUAAAUAGUUAAUUAGUUCUUUAUUUAAGGAUACUAAUCCCAGCCCCUCAUCUUUCCAGUAGUGACUAUCUCACUCAUGGCAGGUGCAGGCAUUUCCUUCCUUGUAACUGGAAGCAGCUUGAUAAAGUGACAAGGCUCAAACCAGUAAAGAAUUAUGCUGUGGUUCAGCUCUCAUAUAACAGUCAGAUUAUUUCUUUCUUUGAUGACCUGCAGGUUCCACUCUGUGAAUGGUAUCUACUUAACAGAGUACACGAUUUGUUUGCCUUUUUCUACUUGUAUAUGCAGUGAGGGGUCCAAGGAUGAGGUGGUAGUGCAGAAAGAAGCCUUCCACUCGAGAAACAGUAGCUAAAGAAUGCAUAGCAAACAGUGCAGAAAAGUUUGCAGUAACAGUAGAGACAUGUUUACCACCCAUACUGAAGUAGUUUUGUCACGGUGGUCUUGGAAGCAUUCCAGUAGAGCUCUGAAAAUAGAAUAUAGCUUCUAUGCUGUUCCACAUCCCAGGAGAAUUAUUUGUGUUCCCUGCCUUUCCAUGCAGGAAGGUGUGCUUGAACAUCUUCCUGGUAAAAUGAAACCUAACACCUGCUGAGAUUUUUCUAUACCAGAAAACAUUACCAGCAAACACUUUCAUUUCCGAGGAGACUUUGAGCACUUAGUGCCGUGUUCACAACCUAUGAACUUAAUGCAUUAAGAAUUACCUUUGCUAUGCUGCCUUACGGAUCUAGGAUUGCGGCAGGCACCAUAUUAAAAUAGUGUUGCCACAAGAAUUACUGUGAGAUUUCUGCAUAGCUUUGAGAUAACAAAGCUCCUAAGGAACAUAUUCCACCACACAUUAGUCUUACCAUAGACUAAAAGGUGUUCUCUGCUAGAGUUUGUCUGGUUGGCAAAGUCUGCAUUCUUAUUCUUAACCAUUAGUUUUCCUUCGUGCUUCUUUAUGCUUGCAGAGGGAACAAAUGCAAGGAAAAACCUCUUGCUGUUAAACACAUACAGAGAGAUGUUGCAACAUGCACUUAGAACUUCCAUAUUAUUUAGAUUUAGAUUUUUGGACUGCUCGAUCCAGUACAGUGGCCUUUUGCAUCACCAAAAUGUAGCCCUUGCUGACUUUGGGCAAGCAUCAGGCCUGGCUCACUAACAGGUACACAUAGGCAGUUCAUCAUCUCUUGAAUUUACAAGCAGUCUGUGUAAAAUAUCUGAUAUGUGUAAAGGAAAAAAAAAAAAAAAGAUGCCUGAAAUGCACUGAUUGGAACAGACAAGCGUGUCAAGUUCAGCUGAAUAUUAGUGGGUUCAGCUGAAACUCCCAAACCACGUCACUCAGCUCCAGAAGCAUCGGUGCCAGGUGUAGCUUUCAGACCUCUGCUAAGCUUUAAGGGCCCCAGCAGAUGAUACAGCUGGAUUCAAUCAAAAAAAAGCAGAUUUCAUCUAACAAGCCUUUGUGUAUUUUAUGAAAUCAUUCUGUGAAGACAAGUUGUGACAGGAACUACUGGAAGCAUCAGAUGGCAGUGCAUGUUUUGUUGCAAUUCAAGAAAUAAGAUUUGUCUUAUUGCAUGUACAAUGUUACUGGAAUUUUGUUUUUGACUAUUAAACCCACGACAGCAAAGAGUUUGUAAAACACUACUGUUUUGAAGAUUGCUGAAAUACAGAGUUGUCGCAAGUCAUAGUGCUUCUAAGGACUGCAUUUUGGGAAACUGAAAUGGUCCCAUCUGAUAUAGGAGAAUUUAAAUGAAAAAAAAAAAA